AUAUAUAUAUAUAUACACAUAUAUAUAUUUAAAUAUAAAUAUAAAUAAAUAUAUAUAAAUAAAUGUAGGCUUGGCUUUUGUCAUCAGCUGUCACCAGGACAGAGUUCUUUCUUGGGCUUUCCACCAUCUCUGAUAUCUUCUUCUUUUUCUUUCCUCCUAAGUCCACCCGCAAAUAUGAAACACGUAGACACAAACUCCCUACAGAAAUGCUUGUGAGGGUUGUUAACUCAGCCAUUUUCCAUUAGCAAAAUUAAAUAGUCCAGAGACAUCUGGGAUGCAUGCUUCGGGAGUCUGCUCUGUGCUGGCGCUUUAUUUUCAAGCACGAUGUCCUUGAAAAAAAAAAAAAGGAGGGCUCCUGAGCCUGCUGGGACUUUCUCUGCCCCCUCUCUCAUUUUUGCUCCCGAAAAGCACAGCCGAGGAACACUUGGGUGGGCUGGUAAUGAAAAUAUAACCCUGGCUGGGGACAACUUUCUCUCUGCCAGCUCUCAGGCCUGUGCAAGGAGCCCUGAAUCCCUAGGGCAGGGAUCUGGUCUGGGAGUGGCUCCUGGAACCUUAGUGUGCCAUGGGGGAGGAGCAUCUAGGCUGCACUGGACACCCCGCUGAGAAGGGGUCAUUCGGGUGAAGCCUUUUUCCAUUAGAGGCUUGUAGACAUUUACCCUUGGGUCUCUGCUCUAGCGUUCUCCAUGCCCAGGCAGAUCUGAAGGGCUACAACAGCAUGUGUCAGCUGAGAUAUGACUCAGCUAACAGAGUGGGCCUCCUGGGGCUCUGGAUGAUGCAAAUCCGCCUGGCGAUUCUGCCCUGUGCUCGUGGGAGAGGAGAUGGGAAAACAGGAAAGAUGCUGUCGUCUGAUGAAACCAUUGACCCUCAUCAGCCUCGUGCCUCAACCCUCAGAGGGGCUGCUUCAAGGGAUUCAAAAAGACUUGGGUUUUGGAUUUUAUGCGAAGUGCCUGACGUUACUACUCAUCCUGCAAACAGUGCUGGGGCUGUCAAACCCGUCACCAUGCCUGUGGCCUGUGAGAACAACAACCAACUGCGAAUUAAAGGACUUACCUCUCCCUGAGACAUCUUCAGCUGUGAGCUAACCCAUUUCUGCCUCUGGCUCUACCGUCCUCUACAUCGUCUUCCUGUCUCUCUCUGCCAGGGUCACAGAUGCUGCCAGGGGAGUCUCCAGGCAGCGUGUUUCCAUCCUCUCACUGUGGUGGACCCGGAUCUUGGCAUCCUGUCUGUAACUAUG
rnacentral:lncRNA from 1 species